UACGUAGGGUGCGAGCGUUAAUCGGAAUUACUGGGCGUAAAGCGUGCGCAGGCGGUUCGUUGUGUCGGUGGUGAAAUCCCCGGGCUCAACCUGGGAACUGCAUCUGUGACUGCAUAGCUAGAGUACGGUAGAGGGGGAUGGAAUUCCGCGUGUAGCAGUGAAAUGCGUAGAUAUGCGGGAGGAACACCGAUGGCGAAGGCAGCCCCCCUGGGGCUAACACUGACGCUGAGGCACGAAAGCGUGGGGGAGCAAGCAGG
rnacentral:rRNA from 1 species